UGUACACACCGCCCGUCGCUACUACCGAUUGAAUGGCUCAGUGAGGCCUUCGGACUGGCCCAGGGAGGUCGGCAACGACCACCCAGGGCCGGAAAGUUGGUCAAACUCGGUCAUUUAGAGGAAGUAAAAGUCGUAACAAGGUCUCCGUAGGUGAACCUGCGGAGGGAUCAUUA
rnacentral:rRNA from 1 species